GAGAAUGCCGGUGUGAGUAGCGAAAGACGGGUGAGAAUCCCGUCCACCGAUUGACUAAGGUUUCCAGAGGAAGGCUCGUCCGCUCUGGGUUAGUCGGGUCCUAAGCUGAGGCCGACAGGCGUAGGCGAUGGAUAACAGGUUGAUAUUCCUGUACCACCUAUAAUCGUUUUAAUCGAUGGGGGGACGCAGUAGGAUAGGCGAAGCGUGCGAUUGGAUUGCACGUCUAAGCAGUAAGGCUGAGUAUUAGGCAAAUCCGGUACUCGUUAAGGCUGAGCUGUGAUGGGGAGAAGACAUUGUGUCUUCGAGUCGUUGAUUUCACACUGCCGAGAAAAGCCUCUAGAUAGAAAAUAGGUGCCCGUACCGCAAACCGACACAGGUAGUCAAGAUGAGAAUUCUAAGGUGAGCGAGCGAACUCUCGUUAAGGAACUCGGCAAAAUGACCCCGUAACUUCGGGAGAAGGGGUGCUCUUUAGGGUUAACGCCCAGAAGAGCCGCAGUGAAUAGGCCCAAGCGACUGUUUAUCAAAAACACAGGUCUCUGCUAAACCGUAAGGUGAUGUAUAGGGGCUGACGCCUGCCCGGUGCUGGAAGGUUAAGAGGAGUGGUUAGCUUCUGCGAAGCUACGAAUCGAAGCCCCAGUAAACGGCGGCCGUAACUAUAACGGUCCUAAGGUAGCGAAAUUCCUUGUCGGGUAAGUUCCGACCCGCACGAAAGGCGUAACGAUUUGGGCACUGUCUCAACGAGAGACUCGGUGAAAUCAUAGUACCUGUGAAGAUGCAGGUUACCCGCGACAGGACGGAAAGACCCCGUGGAGCUUUACUGUAGCCUGAUAUUGAAAUUCGGCACAGCUUGUACAGGAUAGGUAGGAGCCUUUGAAACGUGAGCGCUAGCUUACGUGGAGGCGCUGGUGGGAUACUACCCUAGCUGUGUUGGCUUUCUAACCCGCACCACUUAUCGUGGUGGGAGACAGUGUCAGGCGGGCAGUUUGACUGGGGCGGUCGCCUCCUAAAAGGUAACGGAGGCGCUCAAAGGUUCCCUCAGAAUGGUUGGAAAUCAUUCAUAGAGUGUAAAGGCAUAAGGGAGC
rnacentral:rRNA from 1 species